AUUGAACGCUGGCGGCAUGCUUUACACAUGCAAGUCGAACGGUAACAGGGAGCUUGCUCCGCUGACGAGUGGCGAACGGGUGAGUAAUAUAUCGGAACGUACCCAAGAGUGGGGGAUAACGUAGCGAAAGUUACGCUAAUACCGCAUACGAUCUAUGGAUGAAAGUGGGGGAUCGCAAGACCUCAUGCUCCUGGAGCGGCCGAUAUCUGAUUAGCUAGUUGGUAGGGUAAAGGCCUACCAAGGCGACGAUCAGUAGCUGGUCUGAGAGGACGACCAGCCACACUGGAACUGAGACACGGUCCAGACUCCUACGGGAGGCAGCAGUGGGGAAUUUUGGACAAUGGGCGCAAGCCUGAUCCAGCAAUGCCGCGUGAGUGAAGAAGGCCUUCGGGUUGUAAAGCUCUUUUGUCAGGGAAGAAACGGUAGAGGCUAAUAUCCUUUGCUAAUGACGGUACCUGAAGAAUAAGCACCGGCUAACUACGUGCCAGCAGCCGCGGUAAUACGUAGGGUGCAAGCGUUAAUCGGAAUUACUGGGCGUAAAGCGUGCGCAGGCGGUUUUGUAAGUCUGUCGCGAAAUCCCCGGGCUCAACCUGGGAAUUGCGAUGGAGACUGCAAGGCUAGAAUCUGGCAGAGGGGGGUAGAAUUCCACGUGUAGCAGUGAAAUGCGUAGAGAUGUGGAGGAACACCGAUGGCGAAGGCAGCCCCCUGGGUCAAGAUUGACGCUCAUGCACGAAAGCGUGGGGAGCAAACAGG
rnacentral:rRNA from 1 species